AAAACGGUAAAGAGAACAGGGCCUUAGAUUCUGGUAUUCGAAAUGUGCAAACUGGAUAGAGGUAUACUUUGGAUCGAAGUGGUGGUGAACACCAAAAACUAAUGGUGUAAGUUCAUUCUAAACUCUGUUGAAAAUAUCCAAGAGGAGAACGAGAUGGAAACAAGAAAUGAAGGAUGAGGCUCGAACAUGUAUAUGAUACGUUGUCCUAAAAAUGAUAUUUGCCUCAUCUAGUAUGCUUUUGGGAUUUCCGACAAAUAGUUUAGAGGAUUGACAAGCCUUCAAGGAAGAAGCGUAGAUGAACAAUUGAUUCUUCCUACUUGAACUUGUUGAAAAAUAAGUUCUUAAUAUGUAUUUAGAAUAGAAUGAAUGAUGAUUUCUAAUGUUGUUUUCUUAUAAUUGGAAUUGAAAAUCUAUCACCUAUUUAUAAAUUUCUAACAUUAUACCACGA
rnacentral:lncRNA from 1 species